rnacentral:rRNA from 1 species
UACGUAGGGUGCAAGCGUUGUCCGGAAUUAUUGGGCGUAAAGAGCUCGUAGGCGGCUUGUCGCGUCGGCUGUGAAAACCUGGGGCUCAACCCCGGGCCUGCAGCCGAUACGGGCAAGCUAGAAUUCGGUAGGGGAGACUGGAAUUCCCGGUGUAGUGGUGAAAUGCGUAGAUAUCGGGAGGAACACCAGUGGCGAAGGCGACUACCUGGCCUGUUCUUGACGCUGAGGCGCGAAAGCUAGGGGAGCAAACGGG